CACGAACCGUACAAACGUUAUUCGGAAUUACUGGGCUUAAAGGGUGCGUAGGCGGCCCGGUAAGUUGGGUGUGAAAUCCCUCGGCUCAACCGAGGAAUUGCGCUCAAUACUGCCGGGCUUGAGGGAGACAGAGGUGAGCGGAACUUAGGGUGGAGCGGUGAAAUGCGUUGAUAUCCUAAGGAACACCAGUGGCGAAAGCGGCUCACUGGGUCUCUUCUGACGCUGAGGCACGAAAGCUAGGGGAGCGAACGGGAUUAGAUACCCUCGUA
rnacentral:rRNA from 1 species